rnacentral:tRNA from 1 species
GGAGGGAUGGCCGAGUGGCUUAAGGCGGCGGUCUUGAAAACCGCUGUAGGUCUCCGACCUACCGGGGGUUCGAAUCCCUCUCCCUCCG